UACGUAGGGGACGAGCGUUGUCCGGAAUUACUGGGCGUAAAGGGCGCGCAGGCGGAUAUUUAAGUCAGCUGUUAAAGUCAUGGGCUCAACUCAUGGAUGCGGUUGAAACUGGGUAUCUAGAGUGCUGGAGAGGUAGGCGGAAUUCCCGGUGUAGCGGUGAAAUGCGUAGAUAUCGGGAAGAACACCAGUGGCGAAGGCGGCUUACUGGCCAGCAACUGACGCUGAGGCGCGAAAGCCAGGGGAGCGAACGGGAUUAGAUACCCCGGUAGU
rnacentral:rRNA from 1 species